rnacentral:snoRNA from 1 species
AUCCUUUUUGGUUCUACUGGGGAAUGAUGAGUUGUGGGUUCGCACGCCUCAUGCGUGAUACGUGCCACGCCCUUUUACCUUGUUACGACGAUUGGCACGUAGCCCUUCUGACC